AUUGAACGCUGGCGGUAUGCUUAACACAUGCAAGUCGAACGGCAGCAUGGUCUAGCUUGCUAGACUGAUGGCGAGUGGCGGACGGGUGAGUAACGCGUAGGAAUAUGCCUUGAAGAGUGGGACAACUUGGGGAAACUCAAGCUAAUACCGCAUGUACUCGAGAGAGUAAAGCUGGGGACCUUUAGGCCUGGCGGUUUAAGAUUAGCCUGCGUCCGAUUAGCUAGUUGGUAGGGGAAAGGCCUACCAAGGCGACGAUCGGUAGCUGGUCUGAGAGGAUGAUCAGCCACACUGGAACUGAGAGACGGUCCAGACUCCUACGGGAGGCAGCAGUGGGGAAUAUUGGACAAUGGGGGGAACCCUGAUCCAGCAAUGCCGCGUGUGUGAAGAAGGCCUGAGGGUUGUAAAGCACUUUCAGUGGGGAGGAGGUUUGGAAGGUUAAGAGCUAUUCAAAUGGACGUUACCCACAGAAGAAGCACCGGCUAACUCCGUGCCAGCAGCAGCCGCAG
rnacentral:rRNA from 1 species